rnacentral:rRNA from 1 species
GGGCGUUAAGUUGCAGGGUAUAGACCCGAAACCCGGUGAUCUAGCCAUGGGCAGGUUGAAGGUUGGGUAACACUAACUGGAGGACCGAACCGACUAAUGUUGAAAAAUUAGCGGAUGACCUGUGGCUGGGGGUGAAAGGCCAAUCAAACCGGGAGAUAGCUGGUUCUCCCCGAAAGCUAUUUAGGUAGCGCCUCGUGAAUUCAUCUCCGGGGGUAGAGCACUGUUUCGGCUAGGGGGCCAUCCCGGCUUACCAACCCGAUGCAAACUGCGAAUACCGGAGAAUGUUAUCACGGGAGACACACGGCGGGUGCUAACGUCCGUCGUGAAGAGGGAAACAACCCAGACCGCCAGCUAAGGUCCCAAAGUCAUGGUUAAGUGGGAAACGAUGUGGGAAGGCCCAGACAGCCAGGAUGUUGGCUUAGAAGCAGCCAUCAUUUAAAGAAAGCGUAAUAGCUCACUGGUCGAGUCGGCCUGCGCGGAAGAUGUAACGGGGCUAAACCAUGCACCGAAGCUGCGGCAGCGACACUGUGUGUUGUUGGGUAGGGGAGCGUUCUGUAAGCCUGCGAAGGUGGCCUGUGAGGGUUGCUGGAGGUAUCAGAAGUGCGAAUGCUGACAUAAGUAACGAUAAAGCGGGUGAAAAGCCCGCUCGCCGGAAGACCAAGGGUUCCUGUCCAACGUUAAUCGGGGCAGGGUGAGUCGACCCCUAAGGCGAGGCCGAAAGGCGUAGUCGAUGGGAAACGGGUUAAUAUUCCCGUACUUGGUGUUACUGCGAAGGGGGGACGGAGAAGGCUAUGUUGGCCGGGCGACGGUUGUCCCGGUUUAAGCGUGUAGGUGUGUGUUCCAGGUAAAUCCGGUUCACUUUAACACUGAGGCGUGACGACGAGGCACUACGGUGCUGAAGCAACAAAUGCCCUGCUUCCAGGAAAAGCCUCUAAGCAUCAGGUAACAUCAAAUCGUACCCCAAACCGACACAGGUGGUCAGGUAGAGAAUACCAAGGCGCUUGAGAGAACUCGGGUGAAGGAACUAGGCAAAAUGGUGCCGUAACUUCGGGAGAAGGCACGCUGACACGUAGGUGAAGUGAUUUACUCAUGGAGCUGAAGUCAGUCGAAGAUACCAGCUGGCUGCAACUGUUUAUUAAAAACACAGCACUGUGCAAACACGAAAGUGGACGUAUACGGUGUGACGCCUGCCCGGUGCCGGAAGGUUAAUUGAUGGGGUCAGCGCAAGCGAAGCUCCUGAUCGAAGCCCCGGUAAACGGCGGCCGUAACUAUAACGGUCCUAAGGUAGCGAAAUUCCUUGUCGGGUAAGUUCCGACCUGCACGAAUGGCGUAAUGAUGGCCAGGCUGUCUCCACCCGAGACUCAGUGAAAUUGAACUCGCUGUGAAGAUGCAGUGUACCCGCGGCAAGACGGAAAGACCCCGUGAACCUUUACUAUAGCUUGACACUGAACAUUGAGCCUUGAUGUGUAGGAUAGGUGGGAGGCUUUGAAGUGUGGACGCCAGUCUGCAUGGAGCCGACCUUGAAAUACCACCCUUUAAUGUUUGAUGUUCUAACGUGGACCCGUUACCCGGGUUGCGGACAGUGUCUGGUGGGUAGUUUGACUGGGGCGGUCUCCUCCUAAAGAGUAACGGAGGAGCACGAAGGUUGGCUAAUCCUGGUCGGACAUCAGGAGGUUAGUGCAAUGGCAUAAGCCAGCUUGACUGCGAGCGUGACGGCGCGAGCAGGUGCGAAAGCAGGUCAUAGUGAUCCGGUGGUUCUGAAUGGAAGGGCCAUCGCUCAACGGAUAAAAGGUACUCCGGGGAUAACAGGCUGAUACCGCCCAAGAGUUCAUAUCGACGGCGGUGUUUGGCACCUCGAUGUCGGCUCAUCACAUCCUGGGGCUGAAGUAGGUCCCAAGGGUAUGGCUGUUCGCCAUUUAAAGUGGUACGCGAGCUGGGUUUAGAACGUCGUGAGACAGUUCGGUCCCUAUCUGCCGUGGGCGCUGGAGAACUGAGGGGGGCUGCUCCUAGUACGAGAGGACCGGAGUGGACGCAUCACUGGUGUUCGGGUUGUCAUGCCAAUGGCACUGCCCGGUAGCUAAAUGCGGAAGAGAUAAGUGCUGAAAGCAUCUAAGCACGAAACUUGCCCCGAG